UACGUAGGUGGCAAGCGUUGUCCGGAUUUACUGGGCGUAAAGAGCGCGCAGGCGGUCGUUCAAGUCGCGUGUGAAAGCCCCCGGCUCAACUGGGGAGGGUCACGCGAUACUGAUCGACUCGAAGGCAGGAGAGGGUAGUGGAAUUCCGGUGUAGUGGUGAAAUGCGUAGAUAUCGGGAGGAACACCAGUGGCGAAGGCGACU
rnacentral:rRNA from 1 species